AAAUACUGCUACAUCAUUAGAAAGUUGAACUGUGAAAUUUUAUGAUUCUUUUUUUCUCUGUCUUCAUCUCCUUAUUCCUUUACUCCUAUCCUCUAUGUCGUCAUUUCAUUA